CAGUAGCCGCGGUAAUGCGUAGGGUGCGAGCGUUAAUCGGAAUUACUGGGCGUAAAGCGUGCGCAGGCGGUUAUAUAAGACAGAUGUGAAAUCCCCGGGCUCAACCUGGGACCUGCAUUUGUGACUGUAUAGCUAGAGUACGGUAGAGGGGGAUGGAAUUCCGCGUGUAGCAGUGAAAUGCGUAGAUAUGCGGAGGAAUACCGAUGGCGAAGGCAGCCCCCUGGGAUAACACUGACGCUCAUGCACGAAAGCGUGGGGAGCAAACAGGAUUAGAUACCCCCGUAGUCCCUGUCUCUUAUAC
rnacentral:rRNA from 1 species